UACGAAGGGGGCUAGCGUUGUUCGGAAUUACUGGGCGUAAAGAGCGCGUAGGUGGUUUGUAAAGUUGGGAGUGAAAGCCCAGGGCUUAACCCUGGAAAUGCUCUCAAAACUCACAAACUAGAGAUUGGUAGAGGAUGGCGGAAUUCCUAGUGUAGAGGUGAAAUUCGUAGAUAUUAGGAGGAACACCGGUGGCGAAGGCGGCCAUCUGGGCCAAUACUGACACUGAGGCGCGAAAGCGUGGGGAGCAAACAGG
rnacentral:rRNA from 1 species